GUCGAGUUUGCACAUGCGUAAAGCUAAGCCUGGCGUAAAUCACUCGGGCGGGAAGAGGCUGCAGGGUCGCGCAUGUGUAGUGUAGGCUGAACUGUAGCGUACGGUGCGCGCAUGCGUGUGGGCCCGGUCAGUUGGGAAAGGGGAAAGCGAGAGAGGACGCCAUCUUGUUGCUGCUUCUCCGGAGCCGCGGGGACACGGAGCGAGGCGCUCUGCGGGGAGCCUCUCCCUCGUGUGGCGGGCAGCGUUAAGUUGAUUUUACAGAAUUUAUCAGGUCUUCCAAGCAAAAACAGGUGAUUUU
ensembl:lncRNA